CGGCAACAGCUCAAAUUUGAAAUCUGGCUUCGGCCCGAGUUGUAAUUUGUAGAGGAUGCUUUUGGCGCGGCCCCUUCUGAGUUCCCUGGAACAGGACGUCAUAGAGGGUGAGAAUCCCGUAUGUGACUGGAUACCUAUGCUCAUGUGAAGCUCUUUCGAC
rnacentral:rRNA from 1 species